GUCUAUGGUCUCAGAUACUCAUGGUCAUGAUGCUGAGAGAAGUCUUGUUAUGUACUUGUCUCAUAGCUAUCUGCUUUGUAAUUUCUCAUGAAGCCAAGGAAGAAAUUUGCCGGCCUGCUUCUUGUGGUGAUCUCCAUGACAUUAGCUACCCUUUUCGCCUGAAAAUCAAUGGUUCUGAUAAGAAUUGUCUCAGCUCCCCAGCUGAACUUACAUGUGAUGAGCAUAAUCGCACCACUAUGAAGCUUUAAAAUGGCACAUGCUAUGUCAGGGAGAUCAACUACGACAACAGUACAAUCCAAGUUGUUGAUCCUGGACUACUAAGGGAUUCUUGCCCCUUCAGACCAGUCUACCUCUUAACAGGUGAUAACUUUAGUCAUACGGAUAUAUACCAGCCAAUCGGGGCUUACGAUUUUGUAGCCUUCUUGGAUUGCUUGCUGCCAUUUAAGUCCCGGGACUAUGCAAAAGUCAAUUGCAGUAGCUCAUUAUCUACAACUUCAUAUUCUUAUAUUAUGGUUGGAUCUUCCACCGUCUUGUAAUAUGGUCACGGCCAGUCUUGCAAUGCUACAACAACCUUGGGGGCGCGGCUCAUAUUUUCCCACUCCUCAUCAGUUGAAGGGGGGUUUUGAUCUUUCAUGGGGGAAAUAUAUCUGUGAAAAGCAAUGCGAGGCAAGUGAUGCUUUCUGUUCAUUUUCAAAUAGCCAGUGGGGGUGCUACGACAACUGCUAUUCACCAUUUACAACCAUCUCUUGUUUUCGAGAUUUCCUUAAACGUGGU